rnacentral:rRNA from 1 species
GAGAGCUUGUGCUAAGUCUGUCUUUCAUGGCAGGCGACGCUUGAUUGAUGCUGGGAGAAGAUUUCAUUGGAGCUCAACCAGCAGCCGUUAUGCCCGCAUUUCGGCUCACAGAUCAUCUUCAGGCGGUCUCCCCUCCCCGAGGGAUUAAGAUAUGACCGGUUCCACCUUGUAACCGGGUGGAAGGCGUGUUCCGUAGGUGAACCUGCGGAAGGAUCCAUUA